AUUGAACGCUGGCGGCAUGCCUUACACAUGCAAGUCGAACGGUAACAGGUCUUCGGAUGCUGACGAGUGGCGAACGGGUGAGUAAUACAUCGGAACGUGCCUAGUAGUGGGGGAUAACUACUCGAAAGAGUGGCUAAUACCGCAUGAGAUUUACGGAUGAAAGCAGGGGAUCGCAAGACCUUGUGCUACUAGAGCGGCCGAUGGCAGAUUAGGUAGUUGGUGGGAUAAAAGCUUACCAAGCCGACGAGCUGUAGCUGGUCUGAGAGGACGAUCAGCCACACUGGGACUGAGACACGGCCCAGACUCCUACGGGAGGCAGCAGUGGGGAAUUUUGGACAAUGGGCGCAAGCCUGAUGCAGCAAUGCCGCGUGCAGGAUGAAGGCCUUCGGGUUGUAAACUGCUUUUGUACGGAACGAAAAGCCCUGGGUUAAUACCCUGGGGUCAUGACGGUACCGUAAGAAUAAGCACCGGCUAACUACGUGCCAGCAGCCGCGGUAACAC
rnacentral:rRNA from 1 species